rnacentral:rRNA from 1 species
UAUGCCUACGGGGCGCAGCAGUCGAGAAUCAUUCACAAUGGGGGAAACCCUGAUGGUGCGACGCCGCGUGAAGGAAGAAGUAUUUCGGUAUGUAAACUUCUAUCAGCAGGGAAGAAAAUGACGGUACCUGACUAAGAAGCCCCGGCUAACUACGUGCCAGCAGCCGCGGUAAUACGUAGGGGGCAAGCGUUAUCCGGAUUUACUGGGUGUAAAGGGAGCGUAGGCGGUGCAGCAAGUCAGAAGUGAAAGCCCGGGGCUCAACUCCGGGACUGCUUUUGAAACUG